GGAGGGGUGGCAGAGUGGUCGAUUGCAGCGGUCUUGAAAACCGCCGUCGGUGCAAGCCGACCGUGGGUUCGAAUCCCACCCCCUCCGCCA
rnacentral:tRNA from 1 species